rnacentral:lncRNA from 1 species
AUGGGAGCUAUUUGGGCCUUUGUCGUUUGUGUCCUGACUGUUUGGCUUGCCAAAGGCUCUUGUUUGCCAGUUGAUGGGACAAAUAAAAGGAAUGAUCAUGGGCUUCAGAGGAAGAUGGAAGAUUUGCCUCUCAGUGAAUUCUUAUUAAAGGGGGCCAUUGCACUUCUCCAGGCAAUGGAGUCCAUGUUGGAGCAAGAUGUUAAAGGUACGGCCAUGGACUGCGGCACCUUCCCUGUUGUGGCUGGCGGUGGCUGCAGCAACAACGGCAGCCACAGCGCUGCCGACGGUGGCGGCGGCAGCAACAACGGAAGCCACAGCGCUGCCGACGGUAGCGGCGGCAGCAACAACGGAAGCCACAGCGCUGCCGACGGUAGCGGCGGCAGCAACAACGGAAGCCACAGCGCUGCCGACAGUAGCGGUGGCAGCAACAAUGGCAGCAGUGCUGCCGACGGCGGCGGCAACUAUGGCAGCAUCUUCCCCGGCGGCGGCAACUAUGGCGUCAUCUUCCCCGCAACUGUGGCGGCCGGUGGCAACGGCGUCAUCUUCCCCGCAACUGAGGCGGCCGGUGGCAACGGCGUCAUCUUCCCCGCAACUGAGGCGGCCGGUGGCAACGGCGUCAUCUUCCCCGCAACUGAGGCGGCUGGUGGCAACGGCGUCAUCUUCCCCGCAACUGUUGCGGGUGGUGGCAAUCGGCCACAGCAGUAGCGCGGCCGUCACUAGUGAACCCCAGAGCUGAUAACAAAACUCCUGUAACCACACUGCUAAAGUAGGGAAUAGUUUGCGGAAUCAUGCAAGAGUUCAGUUGAAGCCAUUUCUGUAUGUCCCAAGUUUUCUGCUUUAAAUAAAACUCUUAACUGAUACGUUUCCCUAUUUCUUCUUUCCCAGAUAAGGGUUAAAAGACCCUUAAAGAUUUAAAUUAUGACAAGUGCGACUGCUUGAGUACUUUGUACGUUUGCGUAGAUUGUGCCGCUUUUCUGGUCAGUUUCUGGAGAGCAGUUUGCAGCAUUAACACACUGACCGGGUAAGUAACAGUG